AGAAGGCAAGCUAAGCGCAAGCAUCGACCACUUUCUGCCUCCUGACAGGAUGGCAGCCAGCCCUCUCCUGCUGUCUAUGUGACUCCCCCCUCCGUCUUUCUCAAGAAACGUGUGAGUGACGUCAUGAGUACACCUCACAGCACAGAGACCUUCCUGUACUGAAGAGGCCAGAGGCAGAAAGCAUGGAAACUGACAUCAGAGAAGGAGGCGGGACAAGGAGGGAGGGAGGAUGGGAACUGACAUCAGAGAGGAAGGCGGGACAAGUCACGUGGACUCUCGGAGGAUUUUGCUCCAUUCUAUGUGCUGUGUUAAGACAGCAUGGCAGGCGGGUGGGUUCAGUAACGGGGUAUUGGCUGGUGAGUCUGUGGAGCAGAUCUCUAUCUGCUUGUGGCCAGUCUUAAGCCUUUUGUUCCAAAUUUGAUAUUUCAAGAUUUCUCAGUGUCUUUGAUGUUUAACCUGCAAGCUAAUUUUGGAAAAGCCUUUCCUAAAAACUAUAAUGAAAGGACUUUUUGUUUGUUCAUGAGACAGUCUAUGCAGUCUAGUCUUCCUCAAACUGAAGAUCCUUCUGGUUCCAGCUUUGUGGUGUUGAUACCAGCAUGAGACCUGAGGACAACCUUCCUGCUCUGGGUGACCCUCUACACAGAGAAUUUCACACAUUAUUCCUUGGGCAGCUUUCAUGUGUGGACUGCAGUGCGUUGUCUUAAUCCUGCCAACAGUACCCGGGAAAUGAGAAGCAAUGGUGGCAUUUAUCAGAGUCUUAACUGAGGAUAUCUCCGUGUACCUAUUUCAAUCCGGCAUCUCUUCAAAUCACAGUUGAUAAACACUUUCAUUUUAA